UACGUAGGGUAUCGACAGUGUUGCCGGAAUUAUUGGGCGUAAAGAGCUCGUAGGCGGUUUGUCACGUCGGCUGUGAAAACCUAAGGCUCAACCUCAGGCCUGCAGUCGAUACGGGCAGACUAGAGUCCGGCAGGGGAGACUGGAAUUCCUGGUGUAGCGGUGAAAUGCGCAGAUAUCAGGAGGAACACCGGUGGCGAAGGCGGGGUCUCUGGGCCGGAACUGACGCUGGAGGAGCGAAAGCGUGGGGAGCGAACAGG
rnacentral:rRNA from 1 species